rfam:Hutchinsoniella macrocantha 18S ribosomal RNA gene, complete sequence.
CCUGGUUGAUCCUGCCAGUAGCGAUAUGCUCGUCUUAAAGAUUAAGCCAUGCAAGUCUCAGUACAGACUGUAAUAAAGUGAAGCCNCGAAUGGCUCAGUAAAACGGUUGUGAUCGGUGAGACGGAGAGAUCCUAAUUGGAUAACUGUGGCAAUUCUAGAGCUAAUACAUGCCUGUUCGCGACCCGCUUCGGCGGUAAGCGCAGCAUUUGUGCAGCCACCACCGGCGUUCCCUGCGGGGUUCGUCUCGGAGUCCGAUGAAUCGGAACANACAGUCGAUCGCACGGUCAAGUACCGGCGACGCGUCUCGAUGGUGACCGACUUAUCAACUGUAGACGGCUGGGUAUUGNCCCNCCGUGGUUACCACGGGUAACGGGGAAUCAGGGUUCGAUUCCGGAGAAGGAGCCUGAGAGACGGCUACUACAUCCAAGGAAGGCAGCAGGCGCGCAACUUACCCAAUCCCUGAACGGGGAGGUAGUGACGAAAAAUAACGAUGCGAGACUCGAUACCGAUGUCUUGUGAUCGUAAUGAGUGCGCCGUAAACAGGUGUGCAAUGAUCAAUUGGAGGGCAAGUCUGGUGCCAGCAGCCGCGGUAAUUCCAGCUCCAAUAGCAUAUACUGAAACUGUUGCGGUUAGAAAGCUCGUAGUUGGAUGUUCAUUCUCGAGCUCACGGUGUCAGCUAGCCUGACUUACCGUGGUGACGGUCGGUCGCGUUGCACCCGGUGCUCCGGUGCUGUACUCGCGGUCCGUCCACUCCGGGACAUUAUUUGUCCCGUCGCUUCACCCUUCCGUCUCUCUUCACUGAGUUUCGGCUUGGGCUGGCGGCAGUGAAAUUACCUUGAAAAAAUUAGAGUGCUCAAAUCAGGCUCAUUGUCUGAAUACGGAUGCUUGGAAUAAUGGAAGAGGACCACGAGUCCUAGUUCCUGUUGGUCGGACCUCGUGGUAAUGAUUAAUAGGGGCCGACGGGGGCAUUCGUACUGUGGGGCGAGAGGUGAAAUUCUGAGACCCCCGCAAGACGAACAAGAGCGAAAGCAUUUGCCAAGGAUGUUUUCAUUGAUCAAGAACGAAAGUCAGAGGUUCGAAGGCGAUCAGAUACCGCCCUAGUUCUGACCAUAAACUAUGCCAACUGGCGAUUGGCCGGCGACGCUUUUGUGAAGCCUGGUCAGACUCCCUCGGGAAACCAAAGUUUUUGGGCUCCUGGGGAAGUACGGUUCCAAAACUGAAACUUAAAGGAAUUGACGGAGGGCACCACCAGGAGUGGAGCCUGCGGCUUAAUUUGACUCAACACGGGUAAACUCACCAGGCCCGGACGCUGGGAGGAUUGACAGACUGAUGAUCUUUCUUGAUUCAGUGAUUGGUGGUGCAUGNCCGUUCGUAGUUGGUGGAGUGAUCUGUCAGGUUAAUUCUGAUAACGAACGAGACAUUUGUCUAUUAAAUAGAGUCCGCGGGACCGAACUAGGGGAUGCUUGAGUUUGAAGCGUGCCAAGCGUAGGUUGUCUCUCAGUGUCGGGUCCGUCCCACAGCUGUAGAGCACCUCGCCUCUGGUCACUGUCUGAAGCCAGGCGUUUCUGAAAAAGUCCCCGGCACCUCUUCUUAAAGGUACAGGCGACGUGAUGAAAGUCGCAGGAAGGGAGAUGCAAUAACAGGUCUGUGAUGCCCUUAGAUGUCCUGGGCUGCACGCGCGCUACAAUGGCCGUGUCAGCGAGUUUUUCCUGCCCGAGAGGGUUGGGUAAUCUCCUGAAACGCGGUCGUAGUCGGGACCGGGGAUUGCAAUUAUUCCCCGUGAACUGGGAAUUCCCAGUAGUCGCGAGUCACCAGCUCGCGGCGAUCGAGUCCCUGCCCCUUGUACACACCGCCCGUCGCUACUACCGAUUGAGCGGUUGAUCGAGGUCCUCGGACCGCGUCCCUUGCAAGGCUUGCUCCUUGCCUGUGGUACCGCGGGAGGUUGACCGAGGUUAGUCGUUUAGAGGAAGUAAAAGUCGUAACAAGGUUUCCGUAGGUGAACCUGCGGAAGGAUCAUU